rnacentral:rRNA from 1 species
UACGAAGGGGGCAAGCGUUGUUCGGAAUUACUGGGCGUAAAGGGCGCGCAGGCGGCCUGCCAAGUCAGAUGUGAAAGCCCCGGGCUCAACCUGGGAAUGGCAUUUGGGACUGGCGGGCUAGAGAUCGGGAGAGGAGAGUGGAAUUCCCAGUGUAGAGGUGAAAUUCGUAGAUAUUGGGAAGAACACCGGUGGCGAAGGCGGCUCUCUGGACCGAUACUGACGCUGAGGCGCGAAAGCGUGGGGAGCAAACAGG